CUCACCUGUAUAAAGGCACCCGGAGCGGGGCCAGUUUAAACCCCAGGGCUUUUAUUUGAACAAACUUGGAAGACACCCAUUAGAAGAUGUUUCACAAUGUUAAGUUUUUACUACACACAUAUAAUGAAAAACAACGAUCUACCCCCCCCCCCCCCCCCCCCCGAGCAGGGCCAAUUUUAACCAAAUGGCUUUUAUUUGAACAAGUUUGGUAGACACUCAUAUGAAGAUGUUUUAUGCUAAACAUCUAAGCUCUAGCUCAUUGGGUUUUUUUAAAGAAGAUUUUUUAAGUUUUUACUAUCCACAUGUAGUUAAAACAAAAACAAAUGACACCAUGGGGUGGGGCCAAUUUUGACCCCAGGGCUUUUAUUUGAACAAACUUUGUAGACAAUUACUAAAAGAUGUUUCAUGUUUAAUAUCUAAACUCGAGCUAUUUGGGUUUUUUCAAAGAAGAUUUUUAAGUUUUUGCUAUACAAGUAUAUAAGGAAAAUCAAUAACACCCGGGGCGGGGCCAAUUUUAACUCUAGGGCUUUUAUUUGAACAAACUUAGUAGACACUCACUAGAAGAUGUUUCAUGCUUCAUAUCUAAACUCCAGCUAUUUGGUUUUUUUCAAAGAAGAUUUUUUAAGUUUUUGCUAUAUACAUAUAAGGAAAAUCAAUGACCCCCGGGGCUGGGCCAAUUUUGACCCCAGGGCUUUUAUUUGAACAAACUUGGUAGACACCAAUUAGAACAUGUUUCAUGCUAAAUAUCUUAGCUCUAGCUCAUUAGUUCUUUAAAAGAAGAUUUUUAAGUUUUUACUAUAUGCAUAUAGGGAAAAUCAAUGACCCCCUUGUAACAUAGUGGCACUUAUAGUUAAUUAAUUAUACAUGUUUUAAUUAUCUUAAUUGAUUUAUUUGAUUAUCAACUUUUAAUUAGUUUUAUUUGCAAGCUUCAUUACUCAAUUAUAUGUCGAUAUCAUAUACAUUUCUUUGGAAUGUUGUCUCAUAAAAUUUGAAAGUUUAACUACAUAUACAUUACUGGCAGUGAAACAAAACCGUGUUAUUUGCCUACCAGCUGACAGAUGUUGUUUAUGUCGAUUAUGAUAUUUCAAUAUUUAAGUACAGUUUGUCAAUUUAGACAUUAAAAUGACAAUUGAAUAUAAACCAUUUUAAUUGUUGUGAUGAGUGUUUAUCAAUAUAACAUUUGACCAAAAGUCAAAUUUGAAUAUGUAAACGUGCUUUUGAUUGGUUAUAGGGCAUAACAAAAGUUUGUUACACUAAAAGUGAUUGGCUACUUUUGUAUGUCAUUUAGCUGUCAUAAGCAUGUGCAAAGUCAUUAUAAAAAGCAUUGCGUUGUUUUAACAGUGUUGAGUCUCUCGUAGUUCUGUUCUUGAAAUACUUAACUUAUGUUAAAGACAGUCAUUGAAUAAAUCACUAUACGAUCCUUUUCGUUUGUUAAUUAUUUUAAGAAUAACGUUACAUUAACUUAAAUAUUUUUGGUGCCGUGACCAGGAUCAAACCUCGGUUGGAAGGAAAACUUUGACAGCACCCAUACUAAAGUUUGGAGAUCGACUGUCGUCAGAUAUUCAAGCCAGGACAAUCGGGAGUUGCUCUUGGACGGGCUCGAGAAACAAAAGGUCUACAAGUGAUCAAUUUUAAUAUAAAGAAAAGUGUAAUUCGUGCUUAUGUCCUGAAUUUCAUGCAAAAAGCAUCUGCUGACUUUCAAGAGGAUAGAAGUUGUUGCAACAAUAAACAACAAAGAAUGAGAUUAGUGCCAUGACAAGUUGGGAAAUGGAGGAUCUCCUUGUGAAUACAGUUCAAAUAAACCCUGGUCUCAUGUUUGUUGUUAUAAGGCCAGGUGUUGUGUACCACAAGGGGGUUUUCACCCAUCCGGACAGUCAACACCACCUUGGUGCAGAUGUCAAAAAUGCCUUGACAUGCACACUCCAGUUGACAGGUAUGUUAUGGAAAAAGAGUUUGUAUCAUGAAACUCAUGUCA